AGCCGCCGCGGUAACACCAGCGCCACGAGUGGCAACCGCGUUUAUUGGGCCUAAAGCGUCCGUAGCCGGUUUAGUAAAUCUUUUGUGAAAUCGACAGGCUCAACCUGUCGGCGCGCAUGAGACACUUCUAAACUCGAGACCGGGAGGAGUCAGAGGUAUUUCACGGGGAGCGGUAAAACGUGAUAAUCCGUGGAAGAUCACCUAUGGCGAAGGCAUCUGACCAGAACGGAUCUGACGGUCAGGGACGAAGGCUAGGGGAGCGAUCCGGAUUAGAUACCCGAGUAGUCCUAGCAGUAAACGCUGUGAGCUAGAUGUUGCGCUUCUCAUGAGGAUGCGCAGUAUCGAAAGGAAGCUGUUUAGCUCACCGCCUGGGAAGUACGGUCGCAAGACUGAAACUUUAAGGAAUUGGCGGGGGAGCACCGCAAGGGGUGCGGCGUGCGGUUUAAUCUAACUCAACGCAGAGAACCUUACUAGAAGCGACGGCAGGAAGAAGGUCAGUCUGAAGGGCUUACCUGACGAGCCGAGAGGUAGUGCAUGGCCGCCGUCAGCUCGUGCCGUAAGGUGUCCAGUUAAGUCUGGCAACGAGCGAGACCUAUACCCUCUAUUGCUAACAGCCACAUGUGGGACUGAGCACUUUGAGGGGACUGCCUUGGAAACAAGGAGGAAGGUGUAGGCAACGGUAGGUCUGUAUGCUCCGAAUCUUCUAGGCUACACGCGCGCAACAAUGGCAGUGACAAUGGGCUGCGACUCCGAAAGGAGAAGCUAAUCCUCGAAACAUUGCCUUAGUUCGGAUUGCGGAUUGUAACUCAUCCGCAUGACGCCGGAAUCCCUAGUAAUCAGACGUCAUCAUCGUCCGGUGAAUAUGUCCCUGCUCCU
rnacentral:rRNA from 1 species